GCCCCCGUGCCCCAACCGGCAGAGGGAACCGCCUUAAAAGCGGUCAGUUCUGGGUUCGAGUCCCAGCGGGGGCAC
rnacentral:tRNA from 1 species